UUUGCAAUUAGAGGUUUCUGAUUUUAAUGUGAAAUUUCGAGAUUAGCCUCAGCAACCCAUAUUCAUUCUACUGACUUUCAUUUAUUUCAUUCUUUCACCUACCUUUCAAAUUGAAUUCUUCACCCACCGUUCAUUCAUCAUGGGAAUUCUCUCUAGCUUUCACCUCUCCAUAGUAGAUCCAAGAAGGUGAUUUUCUUCCAAGUUGAAAAUUGUGAAGCUCCACUUCUCCUGAUGGAGAACAAGAACAAUAAUGACGAUAGAGAAGGUGGGGUUAACAGUUUGAGUGAACCUAAUAUGAGUGAAGCUUUAUGUAUUUGUUGUGCAUUGUGGAUGGAGAAAAUUGGUUCUGUGAUGGAAGGGAUGAAAGUAAGGAUGAAAUGGUAGUGGAUUCUUUAGUUGAUUCUUCCCCUACACUCGAGGAUUCCAUUGCAAAGUUAGUUUCAAAGCCCAACUUAAUUAAUGGAAGUCGUGAAUUCUGUUUUGCUUGCACUUUGAUCGAAGAUUCGCAAAGGAGGAUAAUUUUACAUGGCUUACCUGAUGAUAAUUCAAGGCUUGAAUGGAUAAGGUUCUUGUAUGUAGAAAAAAUGAAUGGAAAUUAGUAGACCCACUUGAUAUGAUUAGCAUUUUGUUUCUAGCUAAUUAUGUUAUCGACUUGUAUUAAUUAAGAUGACAAACUGAACUUAUGUAUUAUAAUUUAGGUAUGCUUAAAUCAUACAACUGUGAGACUUAACAUUUCUAUGAAUGUAAUGUUUAUUUAGCUAGCUACUUUUGGCUA